GACGAACGCUGGCGGCGUGCCUAAUACAUGCAAGUAGAACGCAGUUGCGAACGGGUGAGUAACGCGUAGGUAACUGCCUCAUAGCGGGGGAAAACUAUGGGAAACGAUAGCAAAUCCGGCAUACUGAGAGAUGGACCUGCGAUGUAUUAGCUAGGUGGGGGGGUAAAGGACUACCAAGGCGACGAUACAUAGCCGACUUGAGAGGGGUGUCGGCCACCCUGGGACGUAGGCACGGCCCAGAAUCCUUCGGGAGUGAGCAGUAGGGAAUCUUCGGGAAUGGACGGAAGUCUGACCGAGGAACGCCGCGGUGGUGAAGAAGGUUUUCGGAUAGUAAAGCUGUGUUGUUAGAGGAGCGGUAACUAAACAGAAAGGGACGGCUAACUACGUGCCAGCAGCCGCGGUAAUAC
rnacentral:rRNA from 1 species